rnacentral:tRNA from 1 species
GCUGAGGUAGCUCAACUGGCAGAGCAACGGUUUUGUAAACCGUAGGUUGUGGGUUCGACUCCCAUCCUCAGCU